CAAUCUGGAGUGUUCCUGGGGAGCUCUGCUGUGUAAACCUUGGCUUUACAGUGAGAAGACGGGCUGAUCACAGACGUGAACCGUCAGGUAAUCAGGGCUGCAGUGAGAGCCACAGAUUUCAUGGGAAGUGGAAGAGGAGGUGUAAAGAGAAGUCAGAUUGUGAGGAUGCAGCGAUGGAACAGAAACUUGAAAUUAAACCUAAAUACCUUAUUAGACUCAAAUCACAUAUUUUUGGCAAGAAAAUUGUAUUGUUCAUGCUAUCAAUUGCCUUUUGUGUUAUAUG